CCUACGGGGGGCUGCAGUGGGGAAUAUUGGGCAAUGGGCGCAAGCCUGACCCAGCAACGCCGCGUGAAGGAAGAAGGCCCUCGGGUUGUAAAGCUCUGUCCUCAAGGAAGAUAAUGACGGUACUUGAGGAGGAAGCCCCGGCUAACUACGUGCCAGCAGCCCCGGUAAUACGUAGGGGGCUAGCGUUAUCCGGAAUUACUGGGCGUAAAGGGUGCGUAGGUGGUUUCUUAAGUCAGAGGUGAAAGGCGACGGCUCAACCGUAGUAAGCCUUUGAAACUGGGGAACUUGAGUGCAGGAGAGGAGAGUGGAAUUCCUGGUGGAGGGGUGAAAUGCGUAGAUAUUAGGAGGAACACCAGUUGCGAAGGCGGCUCUCUGGACUGUAACUGACACUGAGGCACGAAAGCGUGGGGAGCAAACAGGAUUAGAUACCCCUGUAGUC
rnacentral:rRNA from 1 species